rnacentral:tRNA from 1 species
UAAAUUAAAGCCAAAAAGAGGCAUUUUAUUGUUAAUAAAAUUAUUGAAUAUAAUUCUAAUUUAA